rnacentral:rRNA from 1 species
UACAGAGGUCUCAAGCGUUUGUUCGGAUUCAUUGGGCGUAAAGGGUGCGUAGGCGGCGCGGUAAGUCGGGUGUGAAAUCUUGGAGCUUAACUCCGAAAACUGCAUUCGAUACUGCCGUGCUUGAGGACUGGAGAGGAGACUGGAAUUUACGGUGUAGCGGUGAAAUGCGUAGAUAUCGUAAGGAAGACCAGUGGCGAAGGCGGGUCUCUGGACAAGUUCCUGACGCUGAGGCACGAAGGCCAGGGGGAGCAAAACGGGG